GAGUGAAUCUUCCGCAAUGGACGAAAGUCUGACGGAGCAACGCCGCGUGAGUGAUGAAGGUUUUCGGAUCGUAAAGCUCUGUUGCCAGGGAAGAAUGCUUGGGAGAGUAACUGCUCCCAAGGUGACGGUACCUGAGAAGAAAGCCCCGGCUAACUACGUGCCAGCAGCCGCGGUAAAUAAAAAAA
rnacentral:rRNA from 1 species